rnacentral:rRNA from 1 species
CAGUAGCCGCGGUAAUACGAAGGGGGCUAGCGUUGUUCGGAAUCACUGGGCGUAAAGCGCACGUAGGCGGACACUUAAGUCAGAGGUGAAAUCCCAAGGCUCAACCUUGGAACUGCCUUUGAUACUGGGUGUCUUGAGUUCGGGAGAGGUGAGUGGAACUGCGAGUGUAGAGGUGAAAUUCGUAGAUAUUCGCAAGAACACCAGUGGCGAAGGCGGCUCACUGGCCCGGUACUGACGCUAAGGCGCGAAAGCGUGGGGAGCAAACAGGAUUAGAUACCCCAGUAGUCCCUGUCUCUUAUAC